ensembl:lncRNA
AGUAGGCCAAUCCUCAUUCUGCAAGUGUCCUUGGCCCCUCAGUUUGUUGGCCCCGCAGUUUGUGCAGCGUCUCAGGCACUCCCUGAAGGUCGAGUCUUGGCCGAGAUUUCGGCUCACCCCAGUCCAGCUUCUGCUCCUAGCCAGGAAUGGCGUUUCCUAACCACACGUCCACGGAGCAGGGAGGUACAUCUCCACCCACUCCCAUUCCUUCUCCACAGCUUGCCAUGGGGCAGUGCUGGGUUUAGUUCCUCUCCUUAUUUGGAGCUGGGGUGUGGACAGGUGUGCAGGUGGACAGGCAGCAGCCAAGGUAGAACGCAAGUCAGCCACGGGUGGCAUGUCGGGAAGCACCAGAAAGUGCAAAAGUUUGGCAUCCAGGGCCUCCCUGGACCGACUGAAAUUUGGUCUAAAUGUGCUCUUGUACCCACGUGGGAGGGCUCAGUGCCGCCUGGGUCUGGAUUUCCUGGAGAUGGGAUUUCAGGGAGCAGAGGACGACUCUGGAUGAGUGACCUAGCCGAAAAUUAGAUCCUGACACAUAUUCAAGGAACCUGCUGCAGCUGUUUCUCCAAGAACAGAGAGCCUGGGGAUGUCCCAUCUUCAGCCCAUCAAGUCCCAAGUGCUUAGUCACCUGCUCAGCCCAGACAUGAGGGAUGCUAUCAAAGAAAAGCAAACAAUAACACACCCGUGACAAAGCCAUUUACUAAAUUAAUAGAGGCAAGGAGCAUAAAACCCUGAAAGAACGAUUAAACCUUGCAUUUGCUCCAAGCCUAUUCCUUUUCCACAUCUGCAUUUGCCAGGUCAUCUGCUCCUAACAGUCUUAUCCUUUUUGUGCCAUGAACCCCUUUGGUAGUUUGGUGACUGCCAAUAACAAAUCAAAUAAAAUAAUACAUAGAAUUACUGUCUUAAUCUGUUUUCCGUUGCUAUAACAGAAUAUCACAGACUGGGUAAUUUAUUUUUUUAAAGAAAGGUUAUUUAGCUCACAGUUCUGGAGGCUGAGAAGUCCAAGAGCAUGGCACCAGCCUCUGGCAAGGGCCUUUGUGCUGCAUGAUGAUGCAUCCCAGCAUGGGACAUGGUGAGAGAGCAAGAGCGAGAGAGCCAGAGAGAGCUCCAUGUUAUAACAAAAUCACUCCUGUGAUAA